rnacentral:rRNA from 1 species
CAGUAGCCGCGGUAAUGCGUAGGUGGCGAGCGUUGUCCGGAAUCAUUGGGCGUAAAGGGAGCGCAGGCGGGCAUGUAAGUCUUUCUUAAAAGUUCGGGGCUCAACCCCGUGAUGGGAAAGAAACUACAUGUCUUGAGUACAGGAGAGGAAAGCGGAAUUCCCAGUGUAGCGGUGAAAUGCGUAGAUAUUGGGAGGAACACCAGUGGCGAAGGCGGCUUUCUGGACUGCAACUGACGCUGAGGCUCGAAAGCCAGGGGAGCGAACGGGAUUAGAUACCCCUGUAGUCCCUGUCUCUUAUACA